rnacentral:lncRNA from 1 species
CCUUUGUUACCUCCUGGACCCUUAGAAAUGAUUCCUGAGAGCCAAGAUGACCACAGUGAACUGUUGAAAGCAUCUUUGAAGACAUGGGCAGAGAUGAGCCAGACAAGUAAUGAGAAGACCAAGAAGGGGCUGUCUAGUAUUAAAAGCUAUUAAGCCAAUUUAAGUGGAAUGGUCAUCAGUGAGGCUACUGUUCAUAAGGAGACAAAGGAGCAAUCUCCUCCGUGGCCCUCCACCCAUCAGAAGUGAGAACCUUGGUAGCAGCUGGGGCCAAGUCUGGACAAAUUGGACUUUGGGAUUUGACCCAGCAGAGUGAAGAUGCGAUGUACGUUUUCUAUGCUCACAGUCGGUAUGUUAGCUGCCUCUCCUUCUCACCCACCAACCCAGCCCAUCUACUGUCCCUGAGCUAUGACGGCACACUGCGAUGUGGAGAUUUUUCCAGCGCUGUGUUUGAGGAG